rnacentral:rRNA from 1 species
AGCGGCAGCUUAACACAUGCAAGUCGAACGGUAACUCUUGGUGCUUGCACCAAAAGACGAGUGGCGGACGGGUGCGUAACGCGUAUGCAAUCUACCUUUUACUAGGGUAUAGCCCAGAGAAAUUUGGAUUAAUCCCCUAUAAUAUCAUGAAAUCGCAUGAUUUUAUGAUUAAAGCUUCGGUGGUAAAAGAUGAGCAUGCGUCCUAUUAGUUUGUAGGUGAGGUAACGGCUCACCUAGACUACGAUAGGUAGGGGCCCUGAGAGGGGGAUCCCCCACACUGGUACUGAGACACGGACCAGACUCCUACGGGAGGCAGCAGUGAGGAAUAUUGGACAAUGGACGAAAGUCUGAUCCAGCUAUGCCGCGUGCAGGAUGACAGCCCUACGGGUUGUAAACUGCUUUUAUACAGGAAGAAAAACUCCGACGUGUCGGGGCUUGACGGUACUGUAAGAAUAAGGAUCGGCUAACUCCGUGCCAGCAGCCGCGGUAAUACGGAGGAUCCAAGCGUUAUCCGGAAUUAUUGGGUUUAAAGGGUCCGCAGGCGGUUUUUUAAGUCAGAGGUGAAAUCCUACAGCUCAACUGUAGAAUUGCCUUUGAAACUGAAAGACUUGAGUUAUUGUGAAGUGGUUAGAAUGUGUGGUGUAGCGGUGAAAUGCAUAGAUAUCACACAGAAUACCAAUUGCGAAGGCAGAUCACUAACAAUUAACUGACGCUCAGGGACGAAAGCGUGGGUAGCGAACAGGAUUAGAUACCCUGGUAGUCCACGCCGUAAACGAUGGAUACUAGCUGUAUGUCUACCUCAGGUAGAUGUGUGGCCAAGCGAAAGUGAUAAGUAUCCCACCUGGGGAGUACGAUC